GCCCUGGUAGCUCAAUUGGCUAGAGCGUGGGACUUUUAGGACCAAUGUACAUCCCAAGGUUGCGGGUUCGACCCCCGCCUGGGGCG